rnacentral:rRNA from 1 species
AAAUUGAAGAGUUUGAUCAUGGCUCAGAUUGAACGCUGGCGGCAGGCCUAACACAUGCAAGUCGAACGGUAACAGGAAUCAGCUUGCUGAUUCGCUGACGAGUGGCGGACGGGUGAGUAAUGUCUGGGAAACUGCCUGAUGGAGGGGGAUAACUACUGGAAACGGUAGCUAAUACCGCAUAAUGUCGCAAGACCAAAGAGGGGGACCUUCGGGCCUCUUGCCAUCGGAUGUGCCCAGAUGGGAUUAGCUAGUAGGUGGGGUAACGGCUCACCUAGGCGACGAUCCCUAGCUGGUCUGAGAGGAUGACCAGCCACACUGGAACUGAGACACGGUCCAGACUCCUACGGGAGGCAGCAGUGGGGAAUAUUGCACAAUGGGCGCAAGCCUGAUGCAGCCAUGCCGCGUGUAUGAAGAAGGCCUUCGGGUUGUAAAGUACUUUCAGCGGGGAGGAAGGGAGUAAAGUUAAUACCUUUACUCAUUGACGUUACCCGCAGAAGAAGCACCGGCUAACUCCGUGCCAGCAGCCGCGGUAAUACGGAGGGUGCAAGCGUUAAUCGGAAUUACUGGGCGUAAAGCGCACGCAGGCGGUUUGUUAAGUCAGAUGUGAAAUCCC